GUGAGCUCUCACUUUGGCCGCACAUACGCUAAAAUUGGAACGAUGCAGAGAAGACCAUGGCCCCUGCGCGAGGAAGACACACGGAUUUGUGAAGCGUUCCAUAUUUCU
rnacentral:snRNA from 1 species